CAGCUCCCUGUUGGGCUUUGCCAAAGGCUUGCUAAAAGAAGACUGUAAGGCAGAAGGAGGGAAGAGGGAUUUAGUCCUUUGUGUUUGCCUCCUGUUUUCUUCCUGUUUCUUCGAGCAUGACCCCAGGCACACUUUCCGUGGCCGUGGUAGCAGUUCAUUCCAGAUUGUCAAAGAUGAUUCCUCUCCAGAAACAAGUACUGCCUGUCAUCCCAGAAGUUCACCUUGGCCCCCUUGGAUUUGCCACAUCAUCAUAACAUAGAUUAAGACCUGUGCUGUCCAACAGAACCUUCCGGGAUGAUGGGAAUGCUGCAGAUCAGCACUGUCCAAUAUGAUAGCCAAUAGCUAAUUCU
rnacentral:lncRNA from 1 species